rnacentral:lncRNA from 1 species
UAAUACUCAUCAUAAAAGUGUUAGGAGAGAAACUGACACAAAUUACUAUUACAAGAAUAUUAAUAUUCAUAUGUAUAAGAAAAAAGGAAUAAUAAGAGAGGGAGAAGAAGUGUUACCACUUUGCUUGGAAGGAAUUUUGUUGAAAAUGUCAUGCAAUAAUAGACUAUAUAGCAAUUUUAUGAAGGUCAACUUGAAACAUAACUUUGUAUGAUUUGAGAGACAAAUGAAUGCUAUAAGUGUUAUUUUGAGUUAAUUA